AUUGAACGCUGGCGGCAUGCUUUACACAUGCAAGUCGAACGGUAACAGGCCUUCGGGUGCUGACGAGUGGCGAACGGGUGAGUAAUGCAUCGGAACGUGCCCAGAGGUGGGGGAUAACGCAGCGAAAGCUGUGCUAAUACCGCAUGUGAUCUGAGGAUGAAAGCGGGGGACCAGGCAGAAAGGUUUGGCCUCGCGCCUUUGGAGCGCCCGAUGUCAGAUUAGGUAGUUGGUGGGGUAAAGGCCUACCAAGCCGACGAUCUGUAGCUGGUCUGAGAGGACGACCAGCCACACUGGGACUGAGACACGGCCCAGACUCCUACGGGAGGCAGCAGUGGGGAAUUUUGGACAAUGGGCGCAAGCCUGAUCCAGCAAUGCCGCGUGCGGGAAGAAGGCCUUCGGGUUGUAAACCGCUUUUGUACGGAACGAAAAGGCUCUGGCUAAUACCUGGGGCUGAUGACGGUACCGUAAGAAUAAGCACCGGCUAACUACGUG
rnacentral:rRNA from 1 species